CAGGGGGUAUUUUAUUUAAAAUGUUAGUUUUGGGGAUUAAUGAAAUGGCAGUUUGUCUUUCCUCUGA
rnacentral:tRNA from 1 species